rnacentral:rRNA from 1 species
AUACGGAGGACGCGAGCGUUAUCCGGAUUCAUUGGGUUUAAAGGGUGCGCAGGCGGCCGUGCAAGUCAGCGGUGAAAGCCCGGGGCUCAACCCCGGAAGUGCCGUUGAUACUGCGUGGCUGGAAUGCGGUCGAGGCGGGCGGAACGUGGCGUGUAGCGGUGAAAUGCGUAGAUAUGCCACAGAACGCCGAUAGCGGAGGCAGCUCGCCAGGCCUGCAUUGACGCUCGGGCACGAAAGCGUGGGGAUCGAACAGGAUUAGAUACCCUGGUAGUUCACGCCGUAAACGAUGGGCGCUCGUCGUCGGCGACAGACAGUCGGCGGCCAAGCGAAAGCGAUAAGCGCCCCACCUGGGGAGUACGGUCGCAAGGCUGAAACUCAAAUGAAUUGACGG